UUGAUACUGCCUAAGGAAAAUACUUUGGUGUUAAAUCCCGCUGAAGUAAGACAUUUGUGGUUUUUAGAUUCUUCUUUUAGAUUCUUCUUUUAGAUUAAUCUUCCCUGAAAGGCAGCAUAGUAGUGGGAAUUAUGUUAAAGACAAGACCUUCCUCUCUGAUCAUGCUGCAGUGUAAAGCUUGUGCUUUAUAUACUUGUCACUCAAAAGUAUGACACUACAGUUCACAUAUUCUAUAAACCUGAAAUGCAAUGAAUUUUUCUCUUGAAUGCAAACUAGAUGUACAGUAAGACAGCUGUAAGAUACUGUAAAACAUACACAAACAAUAUCAUAAUUCUUUUUGUUCCCUUUUUCUAAGUUUUCACUGAAAUAAUCUUACAUGCUAUGCUUUAUGAGUCUUUUUUGGUAUAGACUUUCAGUUUGUCUGUAUGAUACUGCACCCCAGUGUGAUAACUCUCCCCUCCCUUAAUUACUGACACAAAAAGAUUUGUGGCUAAUCUGUGCUGUACCUUUAACAACAUGGAUGUCUGAAUACAGCAUCAGGCAGAAUCACUUUCAAAAUUGUUCUUUUUAAAAUCUUUGAUUGAAUAUUCCUGUUUUUUCAGCUUUCUUUCAGCAGAUGAUAAUUGGGGGCAAUUAACUGCCAGCCAGCAUGUCUGUUUUUCCCCAGCAUUAGAAUUGUUGCUCAAAAUCUCCUUUUUUUGGAUCCCUAAUUCUGUAAGUUUUAUUGCAAAUAUUCUGAAACUGAGAUCAACCUUUUUUUUUUCCUUUGAGAACCAUGCUCAGAAAAAUCUUUCUUGUGUCAUUUCAUCACAUGCUAUAAAGCUGGAGUAUUGGCACAGAGUAUUCAGGUAUGGCAUCCAGUCCCUUUGUAGAUGUCCACGCUGAUCCCAAUAUAAUGUCUUCCUUAUAAAAUGCCAGUAGAUUUCAUUUACCCAUCAAGCAAUGGAGGCAUAGCUGCUUGAUUUGUAAUAGUGAAUUAUGGAGGAUUGCUUGUCAUGUGUUUCAGCAUGUGUCAUAUGCUGUAAACAAAGCUGGCCUACCUGAUACCUUUAAGAAGGCAGUAACAGCUACACAAUUGUCUUUAAGGAGGGAAAAAGUUGUUUUGAUACUAAGAGAAUAAUCCUUUCCUCAUAGCUGUGUGGAGCUAUAGGGAUUGUCUUCAUUAACUUGGGUAAAUCUAUAAACUGCAUUGCCAAUUCCAUACCAUUCUCAUGAAUCUGCAUCUUUCCAGAAAGUUGCAAAAAUUGCUUUGGAAUAUACUGCAUGAAUACUGCUCAAUUUUGCAAUAUUUCCUAAAAAGCAUAGUCAAAACCAUUAUGCUUGGUAGCUCUACUGCUUGCAGGAUCUUCAAUGACUGUCAUUCUCCCAGCAGUAAUUUUUCUUUCACGGGAGCUGAUAGGCUGUAUUGGCUCGGUGAGCCAGCACUGCAUACCAGUGUACUGAAUCAGCUCAGUAUAGGACAGUUUUGGUAUGUAACCCAGCAAGCCUCUGUGCUGAGUUAUUUUUCUUUGCUCCAGGCACAGCAAUUAAGAGGUAUUUUUUACUACAUUUGCAAUGCAGGCAAUUCGUUCCUCUUCCCACUGUUGUAGUCGGGGAAAUGCAAUACUCUGACGUUGUUUAGUCUUUGCAGCAUUGCCUGAGAACAUUUUAGAUGGGAUUCCAGUAAGCUGAGGCUGAAUAGCAGCUCCAUUUGCAUGGGGAAGCAGUCCUUUGCCACACCUUGCCUCUUCAAGGUCUGUCAGAGUGACAGUUUUAGUCAGCACAGGAUAUUCUCAGUGAUCCUGGUUUCUGCAGUUAAAGGACCUUAUCUACCAGUUCAGUCAGUCAGCAAUGCUCAAGAGUAGUUAUUCUGGUUUUGCUUUGCCAAAUGAAUGACUUCAGAACAAAUGUCAUGAGCUUUAUAGUCACCGUUGUUACAUUUACCACUGCAGAAAUUAAGUCUUUUGGAAGUAUUUAGUUAAGUCUUCAGUCCCGUCUCUUCAGCUUAUCUUGGGUUAUGACAUACUUGUAAUUGGGGCAAAUACAUUUACUUAACAACAAUUCAGCUCUCAGAAUUUGAAAGAGUAUAUCUCAUUAAUGUCAUUUCUCUGGAGAACAAUCACUACUUGCUUGGCAUCUGAUCCCUAUAUUUUGAUGGAUUUAACAUUUUUCCUUAGGAUAAGGUUAUUUCUGAUGGCCCUGUUAUUUGCAUCCAGACAGGUUGUUUGAAUGCAAAUAAAUGUUUUAUCGUAGGCAGUGUGCAAUGCUUCUCCAGACAUGGUAUUUAGCUUAUGAGGGAGGUAUUCUUAAUUAACUCUUAAAUUUAUUGCAUUUUAGUAGUUAGUAUAUGCAGCAUAUCUUGGCAUGAAAUCAUUCAUACCUAUUACCUCUGUGUUAGCAAAAUGAUCAUUGCUGACUAAUAUAAACAGCUUUGAUCUAUAUAGCAGUAUUCAAAAUCUGUGUAAUUAAUUUACCAACAUUGUACAAUUUUCAUCUUCACUUCCAAUGUGUAAGUUUAUGUGAAGAUUGAUGGUAAGCAUCUGCACCAGUCUGUGCAUUGAUGAGUAUGAAAAUAUGUUACUGAUCUGUAUUUUUGCAGCAUUUUAAAUUUGUUCUUGUAGCAUACAGCAGCACUUCAUAAAUUUUGUGUCUUCCAAGUACUUACUUGAGCAGAAGUAACUUAAGCAGAAAAUAUGCUGUUACAAUAAUUUUCUUUGGGACCACUAUGUCAGUAAAUGCUACUUUGUUCUGUUGAUAAACAGAAUCUAUAAUAAUUUUUUUUUCCCCAUGAAAAAUAAUGUUGGCAUUUCCAGUUAUACUGAAUGCUAUUUCACUCUUCACAGUAUGGGUGAUACCAAGAAUUUGAAUUUGCCACUAGUUCCUUACAGUGUUCUGGACUGGAAUCUGAUUACACAUGAGCUGCCCUCAAAGAGUAUUAAGAUAAUUUAUAUUCUCAAGGAACUUUAGAUUGCCAUUUGUCUCUUCAGAUAUUGUGAAUUAUGUAUAUCCUCUGUGCUCAUUUGGAGGAAAGCACAGUGAGCCUCCCAUCUCCUAUGCUUUGCUCUGCUUGUGCAGAACUUAUGCUUCAAAACUCCAGUACAGUACUGCACAUGCUGUGAACUACACGGAGAUGUGCCAAUGACAAGUAGCAAGUGUAGCAGCAAUUUAGUGUGCUCAGAUGCUAAAUGGUCCAUAAUGCAGCAAGUAUAUUCUGUCAAAAAUCCUUCGUGGUAUUCCAGUAGGAGAGCAAUGUUUGUAGCAUCUAGAUAAUAAUAAGAGUACCAACAUUACCAGGUCCAGAUACAAUGGUUCUCAUUAGUAUGUUGGAUUUUCAAGAGAUAUCUGUCUCUCCUCAGUCCACAAAACGAAGAAGCUGAGGAAGAAAAAGAAGAGUGAUUUGCCCACAUUUAUAGAAGUUCUGUGGCAGAAAUAGAAUGUGUGUUACUAGGAUUUUGUUCCCGCUAUAUGAUAUUUCUCUUUAUCACUUGUCCCCCUGCAGUGUUCUGAGAAUUGGUUGAAUCAGAAGCAUAAAAGUGUAAGUCACAGGUUAAUUCAAGUGUCUGUUUCUUUGCCUUCUGCUGCAAUCUACAAGUCCUCUCCCUAAAUAUUGGUUUCAGUCACUAAACAAACGUAGAUUCCACUGCAAAAGAACCAGAUUUAUUGAUGCUUGUGUAGUUGUGAACUAGUACAGAGGAAUACAUAGUUUGUAUUUCAGGAAUACUUAAUUCUGCUAUAGUACGAGGUUAUGAAUGGAAUUGAAGUCUGCAAUAGAAUUUUUUCUUCCCUGUGAACAUUUUUCCUUUGUUCCAACUGCAUCUGAUAUCCACGAUGCUUUGCUUUAUUCUUUUAUUUUCUUACUAGAAACUUUAUCUGGGAUGUUACUUAAAGCAGUCUGCUUGACUUACUGCCACUCUUUGAUUUCCUGAAAAAAACACAGUAAGCAUCAGAAAACAGCACAAUAAAAUAGGAAAUGAAAGAUAAAAAAACCCGAAAGAGAUAAUAGAACAGAUAAGAUGAACAAAUAUCAAGAAUCACAAAGGAAUAGAGAUUGACCGGCAGGAAUUGAGCUCCCUUUUGGGGAAGGUUACUAGAAUUUGUGCUCUGUAUUCCAAACUCUGGCCUUUUCCCAGUCUCACCCCUGCUGUUCUCCUUUAGUCACUCCUGCCAGCUAUCUCACCUACUCAGCUCACAGCAGAAAUCAUUGUUAGUUUUGCAGAACUCCUGAGAGGUGUGAAAAGCCUCUGCAUGACCAGUAUGAGUUGUCCUGACAUUGUCAUACUUCUCACCUGCCUGGGGGUAUGUGAAGGUCAUUAUUUAUUCUUUACUGAAAGCUGAUCAGCAGGUUGAGAAGACAACAGAGUCUGCAGCUCUAAGAAACUCAGGAAGAACACACCCUGCCUUUACCUCUAUAAGGCAAAUUUGGGAAUUGAAAGUGGAAUGCAGACUUGCAGAUAACAUGGUAAGAAAUUUAAGGAAAAGAAGGGACACGAUUGCACAGGAGAAGAAAUAUAUCUUGGGAGGAAGGUACUAUUUAUAAAGAGAAAUAGGUACAGAGGAGAGUUGAAGGAUUGUGAGAAGUGAGAAAAAUAGCAAUCUAGAGAGCAGGAAAAUUGAUCAGAGGAAAAGCUGAAAAACUGUGAGCAUCUGGGGAGAAGGAUCAGUUAGACAGAAGGAAACAAAGAUGGUAACAGAUAAUAAUUGGAAUACAAUACAUCAGCUAUUUUUCCUUUCCUAUAGAAAAUAUAGUGAAAAAAUAUUACUGCCAAAUUAGUAUCUAAAAUUGUUUAUACAGGACAAAAAAUGGGGACAAAACUCUCGAGGAGAAGUGAUUAAGAUAAAUAAGCAGGUCUCCUUCCCUCAAUGCAGCAGAUCCAAAUGCUGGAUUUCUUAAGAGAGGCUUUUUUUGUCUGAAUGAUGCUGUGGUGGUAUGUGUGUAGCAGGAAAAUAUAUUAAGCACUUCUAUUCUGUUUGCUUUACUACUUCUCAUAUUGCAGUCUUUGUAAUAAAAUCACAAGAAAUACAGUAUUAUAGCACUAUGUACUAGUAAAAUAUAAUUUAGGUGUUUGUCCCUAUAUGUUUGUCACAGAUUAUUUUAAAAUGCAAAUUUGUUACUGUUGAUUAAAUUAUACAUUAUUGUCUUCAUUUCAUGUGGAGUGGUAAAAUAAGUUCUUAAGCAUGUACUGUGAUAUCUCUUCAUAGCCCAAUGCUCUCUGCAUUACCCCCAUUUCUAAAUGAAUGGCUGCUAAGAGAGGAGGUGAGUGAAAAAGAACAUAACAAUGAAAAAUUAAAAACAUAUACCAAAGUGUAUGCUGAGAGAGAAGCAACAAGAUCUUCAGAGAGAUAGAUGUGUGGAUGAAAAGAUGUGAGCACACAAAAAAUUAAGAAAACAGUUAAAUGAGAACACAUCAUAAACUGAAGUACUUUUCCUCCAGGUCAUGGAGAUCACUUUAGGAUCACCAGCUGGCAAUUAGGACAAUGAGCUGCACGAAGGCCACUGUCCAGCUAUAAGGAAGACCACACAGUAAUACAAUGUGCACAAAAAUGGAGGUGGAUUGAACAAGAGCUCAUUCAAACUUUCAUGGCUUAGCAAAAUGGAGAAGUGUGUGAAGGAGGAUCAUUAAAGCUUUUGUUCAAGAGAUUGAUUCAGUCAUAUGCAAAAUGAUGAUGAGGUUAGACGUAAAUUAAGGGGCAUCAAUAAGUUGAGUGUCUUCUGUUUCUGUCAUUCAGAAUUCUGUAAUUGGCAGGCAGAGAUAACAGUGUUUCAUCACUAACAAGAAAUGGAGAAAUAUAAACGAAGGAAAGUGUGGACAUUAAUGAAGGCUUUCUUUAGGUGCCUACUUGUUCCAGAUGGAUAGUCUGUAGAGAUUUGUGCAGAAAUGCAGGAUGUCAGAAAGGCUGCUGAUGCUAAUCCUAGCAGAACUUCCUGGAGAGUGCUUCAAGACAGGUCCACAUUCUGCUUGAAACAUGAGCCUGGCAGACCUCAUGCUUGAGGACAUUGCAGAUAUGCUACCUGGAGAGAAAUUCAGGCUCAGACAAGGGGUUUUGCAAAGGAAGAGGAGUGGACUUGCGAUGGCUGCCAUCCACCAAACAAGUCAAACAGCAAGGCCUUUCUAGAACAAACCUGCCAGUGAAGCUGGAAGUAUCUCCAUGAAUACAUGAGGAUGGUCUUGGUCUUCUGGCAGUUCACCAAGGCAAUGCAACAGCAUCCUGAAAUGAGCACAGCUGAAGAGGCUGUCAACAACAGCAAGAAAUCUAGCUGGCAAGAAACCACACGAAAAGAUCAGACAUAAUAAGAUGGCACUAGGAAGGAGAAGGAUUGUAGUUGCUAGAGAUCAUGUUCUCCGUCAUGAGGAUAAGGCACUUAAUUGCAACUUAUAGACCAAAUACAGGUAUGGGAAGCUAUUCUACAGAUUGCUGCUUUAAUGACCACCAGCUGCUACAGCUGUUCUGCCCAUGCAAACCCUUUGUCAUCAAUAGUUGUGACUUUGAUUGUCCUCCUCUCCUAGAGGAGUCUCUGCUUUUCUUCAGUACAUGCAGAAAUGCUCUUCCAUGUCUAACCUGUAGUCCUUAGGUUUCACCUUUUACAUGGGAGUAACACCAGCUGGCUUUAGAAUCAAAAAGGAGGCUACUGUAGAUAUAAAGCAUUCAAGCACAGUUUUUUACCGGGAAUUUUGGGAAAUGUAUAAAAUACCCUCACAAAAGAAAUACUAGGUUGGGAAUAUAUUCCUGAAUUUAUUUGGGAUAAAAGUCUAUCAGAAAUGUUUGGAAAGUGCCAGCAAAAAAGACAAUUUUCAUGUUUUUUCCCCCCCAAUAUUAUAAACUAACUUCAAUUUGCCGGAUAAGGCAAAAUAAAGGUUUUGGCAAAUUUUGUGCUUGUGCACUUCAAUAUCUACUCUCUUGUUACUCUUAGUUUCCUGUCAGGUAAGAGUAUAAGAAUCAUUAAUUUUCAGCCCCAACUUUUGCUUGAUAACGUAACCUGAUUUGGACUCUGGCUCUUUAUUUUUAUUUCCUCUGAGGAAAUAGAGUUGGGAGAGUGUGAAAAUGUCACAGUUCUAUAUCCAAAUGUGUCUAAUGCAUGUACUCAAGGAGUAGACUCUGCCUUUAAGACAACUAUUGAAUUUGAUUGCUAGUGAGUCUUUAUGUAAUUGCUGUCCUUUAUAAACUUCUGAUUUUCAUUACACAUGCUGCCUAUAAUAACCCUUAUACAUUAUAGUAAUCCUUUGGCUUAUAACACACAAUGUUCUGCAUUAUUUUUCAGAGAUGAGUUAACCCACCUCACUCUUCCUUCUGUGGUUUAAAAUAUUAGUACAGUAAAAACAGGCAUCCAUGAAUUUAAUUUGGUACCCCCCUGCUGCUACAUAGAUAGAUCACAAAUGUGGACACGUAGUCCAGAACAAAAAACCUAUGAUCAGCAAGUUCUGUUACUGUUUCUCUGAUCAAUCAAUCCCUGGAUUGCCUCCAAACACAGUGUAUGCCUACCUGCCUUCAACCUUUGCAAUGGCCCACACAGGGAGUUUCACAGCAAACAGAGUUUGGUUUUGAAACCAGCCUAGAGGGAUACCCUCUGCAGUUAUCAUGGAACUACAGCUCUGGUCCAAUGUCGCAGUCAGGAUUUAAAUUUUCUGUGUUCUCCCUAAGUCUUCAAAAAAUACUAUAGAUAAAUGCUCUGGCUUCACAAAUGGAGUUGGUGGGAUAGCAUUUUACCCAUGAAGUCCAAGAAACAAGGUGUUGUAGGGCACUGCUAUGGUCUUAAUCCCAGAUGAAAUGUGAAGCUACCAAAAUACACAGUCUGGUGGGAACUGAAAAGUCCUUAUCUCACGGGAAAAAAGAAAUAUAAAAAGAACACUUUAUCAAAUUCCAGACAGUGCAGCACAAGAGCUGUUUGCAAAUGCUAUGCAAUUUAUAUGGGGAAAAGGAGUAUUCUCCAGCUUUGAUUAGUGUGAUUGAGACAGCAUCCCACCUCCAAGUGCUGCUUCUGUUUUGUCCCUUAGGAGGUGUGAGAGAGCUCACUCUGCAGUUUCAGUUCACUCAUGACACUGUGUAUGAGGGAAGGCCCUGGACUGGACAUACUGGACAUUAUUUCUCUUCAUCCCUACACUCUUCCCCCACCCCAAAUACCCUCUUAAAUAACUACUUUUUUGUUUCAAACAACAAGGCUGAACAGGUGAAAUUUUAAA